CCAAACUUGGUCAUUUAGAGGAAGUAAAAGUCGUAACAAGGUUUCCGUAGGUGAACCUGCGGAAGGAUCAUCAACAAAAGGGAAAAGGGCGCGGCGGGCGCAAGCCCGUUCGACGCUACUCCCGAAAAUCCUGUAUUCACCCCAAGUUCCUUUAAAAUUUAUUUGAAUAAAACUUGCAAAAAAAGACCACCUUCGUUUCGGUGGCGCUUAAUGCAAAAAGCGAAAACUUUCAACAACGGAUCUCUUGGCUCUCGCAUCGAUGAAGAACGCAGC
rnacentral:misc_RNA from 1 species